rnacentral:rRNA from 1 species
GUCGGCAGCUAGCUCUCUGCAACUCUCACAUGGUCGCCCACUGAAGCUAAGCAGGGCUGCGCCUGGUCAGUACCUGGAUGGGAGACCACAUGGGAAAGCUAGGUUGCUGCCGGAA